GGGCUCUUAGCUCAGCUGGGAGAGCAUCUGCCUUACACGCAGAGGGUCAUAGGUUCGAGCCCUAUAGGGCCCA
rnacentral:tRNA from 1 species